rnacentral:rRNA from 1 species
UAGUCCACGCCGUAAACGAUGUUUGCUAGUUGUCAGGCCCUCAGGGUUUGGUGACGGAGAGAAAUCAUUAAGCAAACCGCCUGGGGAGUACGGCCGCAAGGUUAAAACUCAAAGGAAUUGACGGGGACCCGCACAAGCGGUGGAGCAUGUUGUUUAAUUCGAAGCAACGCGAAGAACCUUACCCACUCUUGACAUACCUCUUGGGACUUUCAGAGAUGAUUUGUCUUCGGUUCGGCCGGGGAGAUACAGGUGCUGCAUGGCUGUCGUCAGCUCGUGUCGUGAGAUGUUCGGUUAAGUCCGGUAACGAGCGCAACCCUUAUCUUGUGUUGCCAUCAUUUAGUUGGGAACUCACAAGAGACUGCCGGUGACAAGCCGGAGGAAGGCGGGGGACGAGUCAAGUCAUCAUGGCCCUUACGAGUGGGGGGCUACAAACGUGCUACAAUGGGUAGUGACAGUGGGCAGCUAGGCCGCGAGGCCGUGCUAAUCUCCAAAAACUAUCUCAGUUCGGAUUGUCUCU